AGGAGAAGAAUGGAACUUUUACUUCUACCACAAAAAGAAUUGACACGCAGGAUAAUUGACCUUUGAAACACACAGAUUGCUUCAGCAUUCAGCAAGAAGGUCUUUGCAAGAGCCCAACACCUCGAUAUUGGACUUCCCAGCCUCCAGAAUUAAUCCAAUAUCAUGUAGGCACAUGAGGAAGCCUACAUGGAAGACAAUUGAGACCUCAGCUAAAUUCCCAGUCAGUAACCAGCACCAACCUGCUAGCAGUGUGAGGGAACCAUCUUGGAAAUGGAUUCUCCAGCCCUCUUCAAGAGUCCUGGACCAUGAUUUCAUGAGACAAUCUCCACUGAGUGCUAGUUAGUUACAAAACCAUGUUCAAAUAAAUGAUGGGUCUCAUUUUAAAUCAUAAGUUAGUUUUGUUUUUAUGCAGUGAUGGAAAACUGAGAUGAACACUUAUUGAAUAUGUUAACUUUAUACACAUUCAGAAUAUAUUAUAAAAACGUGAUUGAAUUUAGUAGUCUAAAAAUCUAUUUUUUAAUUUGCCUAUGAUUCCUUCUUGUUUGUACAUGCUAGAGAUCUCAAAAGACCAGGCUAUCUUAUUGGUUAGAAUAUAUAUGUCUUAAGCAUGAAAAAUAUCUACUAUUUGCCCAUGAAGCAAAAUUUUAUUUAGGAAUAGUUUUUAAAUACUGAAAUAAAACAACCUU